CGCUAUCACUCCUACGGGAGGCAGCAGUGGGGAAUCUUGGACAAUGGGGGCAACCCUGAUCCAGCCAUGCCGCGUGAGUGAUGAAGGCCUUAGGGUCGUAAAGCUCUUUCGCCUGUGAAGAUAAUGACGGUAGCAGGUAAAGAAACCCCCGGCUAACUCCGUGCCAGCAGCCGCGGUAAUACGGAGGGGGUUAGCGUUGUUCGGAAUUACUGGGCGUAAAGCGCACGUAGGCGGAUCGGAAAGUUGGGGUGAAAUCCCCGGGGCUCAACCCCGGAACUGCCUCCAAAACUAUCGGUCUAGAGUUCGAGAGAGGUGAGUGGAAUUCCGAGUGUAGAGGUGAAAUUCGUAGAUAUUCGGAGGAACACCAGUGGCGAAGGCGGCUCACUGGCUCGAUACUGACGCUGAGGUGCGAAAGUGUGGGGAGCAAACAGGAUUAGAUACCCUGGUAG
rnacentral:rRNA from 1 species